GCCAAAUACGAAGGAGAAGGAAUAUGUGAAGAGCCUUAAACCGUCCGUUUGGUUAACAGAGGAAUUCCCGUUGAAGACGGAAGAGUUGCUGCCGUUACUUGACAUAUUAGCGAACAAAGUGAAAGCCGUUAGACGAAUGAGAGAGCUGUUAACCACCAAGUUCCCUCCGGGGACAUUUCCAGUCAAGUUGGCAAUACCAGUGGUCCCU
rnacentral:misc_RNA from 1 species